AUUGGACGCUGGCGGCAGGCUUAACACAUGCAAGUCGAGCGGAGAUGAGGUGCUUGCACCUUAUCUUAGCGGCGGACGGGUGAGUAAUGCUUAGGAAUCUGCCUAUUAGUGGGGGACAACAUUCCGAAAGGAAUGCUAAUACCGCAUACGCCCUACGGGGGAAAGCAGGGGAUCUUCGGACCUUGCGCUAAUAGAUGAGCCUAAGUCGGAUUAGCUAGUUGGUGGGGUAAAGGCCUACCAAGGUGACGAUCUGUAGCGGGUCUGAGAGGAUGAUCCGCCACACUGGGACUGAGACACGGCCCAGACUCCUACGGGAGGCAGCAGUGGGGAAUAUUGGACAAUGGGCGAAGCCUGAUCCAGCCAUGCCGCGUGUGUGAAGAAGGCCUUUUGGUUGUAAAGCACUUUAAGCGAGGAGGAGGCUACUGAGACUAAUACUCUUGGAUAGUGGACGUUACUCGCAGAAUGAGCACCGGCUAACUCUGUGCCAGCCGCCGCCGUAAUAC
rnacentral:rRNA from 1 species